UUGAUCCUGGCUCAGAAUCAACGCUGGCGGCGUGCCUAACACAUGCAAGUCGAACGAGAAAGUGGAGCAAUCCAUGAGUACAGUGGCGACCGGGUGAGUUACACGUGACUACCUACCCUCGAGUGGGGAAUAACCUCGGGAAACCAGGGUUAAUACCGCAUAACAUCACCGGGUGAAACUCCCGAUGAUCAAAGGGGUAUGACGCUUGAAGAGGGGGUCGCGGCUGAUUAGUUAGUUGGCGGGGUAAUGUCCCACCAAGACGAUGAUCAGUAGCCGGCCUGAGAGGGCGCACGGCCACAUUGGGACUGAAACACGGCCCAGACUCCUACGGGAGGCAGCAGUGGGGAAUUUUGCGCAAUGGGGGAAACCCUGACGCAGCAACGCCGCGUGGAGGAUUAAUUCCCUUGGGAUGUAAACUCCUUUCGACGGGGAAGAAACUGACGGUACCCUUAGAAGAAGCCCCGGCUAACUUCGUGCCAGCAGCCGCGGUAAUAAGGU
rnacentral:rRNA from 1 species